rnacentral:lncRNA from 1 species
UGAUCUCCUCUCUUUCAAUCAACCCUUGAUUGUACUUGAGAGGAGGAAGAAGAAGGAUGAAGAAGAGGAAGAAGAUCCAAGCCCCUGCAGCCUUCUUUCUAUCUCCCUGCGUUGGAUGGAGGAAGAGAGGGGAAGGAGGCCGCCACCCUUUCUUUUGCCUUCUCUCUUGCUUGCGGCUGAAACAAGGGAGGAUGAGGGAUGGCCACGGCUUGGAGGAGGAAGAGAGGGGUUC